rnacentral:rRNA from 1 species
UACGUAGGGUGCGAGCGUUAAUCGGAAUUACUGGGCGUAAAGCGUGCGCAGGCGGUGAUGUAAGACAGGUGUGAAAUCCCCGGGCUUAACCUGGGAACUGCAUUUGUGACUGCAUCGCUGGAGUGCGGCAGAGGGGGAUGGAAUUCCGCGUGUAGCAGUGAAAUGCGUAGAUAUGCGGAGGAACACCGGAUGGCGAAGGCAAUCCCCUGGGCCUGCACUGACGCUCAGUGCACGAAAGCGUGGGGAGCAAACAGG